ensembl:lncRNA
CCAUGCUGUUUCCAUUUUCCAUGAAGCUGGCUCAGGAAGGCCCAGGGAGCACAUACCCGUGUAAAAGUUAGGGAAACUAGCCACCCGCUUUCAGAGCCCAUGCAUCAGACCCCUGUGUCUGUGGGGUAGCCUCAGCUUCUGGGUGGCAUAGGUUUUGGGGUCCCUGAGCUGUCAGGACACCCAUCUGAGGACUCCCCUUGGACCUCCCCUCAGACACAGUUACCAAACAUGUUUUUCAUCUUGAUUAAUCUUCUUCUCUUCUCACGUUUCUCAGGUCACAGCUGCAUUGUUAUCUGAUGGGCUCAUUGCCAGCUCCAUGAAGCCUGUCAGUUACAAAGGGUGGAUUAGCAGCAAAAGAAUAUUUAUUAGAAAAAAACAAUCCCUUCUUAUUCUUCUGUCUUUUUAUGUGGAGUUUGCCAUGUAUUGCCUGGGUGCGAUGAGAGCAACCUUCUGCGAGCUGGGAGCAGAGGUCCCAUGUCUGGGUUACUGGCAGUGCUGGGGGUGGCAGUGGUUCUCCUUACCAGCUGUGGACCAGCUCUCCCAGUUGCUCCCGGAGACUUCUGCCCAAUUUCACAGCCCAGAGACAUCCAUACUGUGCCUGGUUCUCUCCAGAUGGAGGAGAAUCCUUUUGUGAAGGGAUCUCACUUCCCCCUAAUCUCCAGAGCUGGACGUGAGUAGAGAACCGAUCACUCAAUAAUGACAUUUCAAGUGAGCAGUCCACUUUGCGAGGGUGUGUUGCAUGACAUUAUGAGAGAAGACAGAUGUUCUAAUUUAAAAAACAAGGAUGCAGCAGUGACUUUUCUUCCCCCUUUACGAAGAAACGCUCCCACUGAGGGAAUUCCAGUCUCCAAGGAAACCAGUUCCCUUGUGGGAAAUUGCUUUUCAUUCUGUUUUUGAGACUUUGGUGGUGGGAUCGCAAGUUGAAGGUCUUUGCCUUUGGCUGCUGCACACCUGAGCCAUGUCCCGAUCGUGGCCCUCAGAGUCUCUGGGACAUCCCAGAGGACAUGCUGCGUCAGGGCACAUGCAUUUUGAGCAAACUGUGAAACAUCAGCUUUCCCACCCCAGGCUGGGAGCUGCCGGCCAGACCUGCCUGGGCCCACCUGUGUCUGAUGUGGUGUGAUACUGGGGCGGAGGAGGGGGAGGCCCUGAAUGCUGGUCAAGAGCUUGACUGCUGAUCUGGUCUUUCUGAUGCCAGUAUAGUGGUCAUUAUCUGGAAUCUGGGCCUGCCUGGGCUCUGGGCAUGAUGGGGAAACAGACAAAUCAGGAUCUCUGGAUCAGAAGUCAGGGCCUCUGGCAUGUGGAGGAAGAAUCAUUGUCGGAGGAGGAACCUAGCAAAAGUCUUAGAACUACAAGGGACAUUGGGGGUGAAGACCCCAAAUCUUGCCUCCACUAGCAUCUGAUUCUCCUUCGUUAGGGGUGAAGACCCCAAAUCUUGUCUUCAUUAGCAUCUGAAUCCCCUUCGCUAGGCCCACUUCAUUUUUCCCACUUAUUUCUUCUGUAUUCUCUAUUGCAUGGUCUCCUGGGGGAGAAUUGAUGGUUUGGAGAAGAGAAAAUGACGUUCCAAAGAGCUUUGAAAACAUUAAGAGAUAAUAGCAGGUAAUAGGGUCUUGGAAGUUCUGGGCCAGGGGUCAAAUCAGAGCUGCAGCUGCCAGUCUACACCACAGCCACAGCAACACCGGAUCUGAGCUGCAUCUUCAACAUACACAACAGCUUGCAGCAAUGCUGGAUUCUUAACCCACUGAACGAGGCCAGGGAUCGAACAGGCAUCUUCACAGACACUAUGUUGGGUUCUUAACCUGCUGAGCCACAAUGGGGACUCCUAGGUGCUAGGGUUGAGGCGAUGUAACUGCUCACUCGCUAGCCCUCCUUUACCAUUUUUCACUUACUUUCCCUUCCCGCUGCCCCCCACUUUUAUUUUUGUUUUUUUAUUUUUUACUUUUUUGUCUUUUUGUUUUUUCUAGGGCCACACCUGUGGCAUAUGGAGGUUUCCAGGCUAGGGGUCGAAUUGGAGCUGUAACCACCGGCCUACGCCACAGCCACAGCAAUGCCAGGUCCGAGCCAUGUCUGUGACCUACAGCACAGCUCAGGGCAACGCUGGAUCCUUAACCCACUGAGCGAGGCCAGGGAUUGAACCCACAACCUCAUGGUUCCUAGUCAGAUUCGUUAACCACUGAGCCAUGAUGGGAACUCCAGUCCCCCACACCUUUGAAUUGAAUAUUAUUGAUUUACAAUGCUGUGCUAGUUUCUAGUGUGCAGCACAGUGAUUCAGUUAUACAUAUAUAUACACGGCCUUUUUCCACAUUCAUUUCAUUACGAUUUAUCACAGGAUGUUGACUAUAGUUCCUGUGCUAAUCAGCAGGGCCGUGUUUGUUAUCUCCUUUAUGUAUAGUAGUGUAUAUCUGCUAAUCCCGGACUCCUAAUUUAUCCCUCCCCAGACUCCCUUUCCCCUUUGAUAACCCAUAAGUUUGUUUUCUAUGUCUGUGAGUCUGUUUUGUAAAUAAGUUCAUUUGUGUCAUAUUUUAGAUUUAGGUGAUACAUGGUAUUUGUCUUUCUCUGUCUGACUUCUGAUCAUCUCUUGGUCUAUCCACAUGGCUGCAAAUGCCCACGGGCCCUCUCUUCAUGGUUUCUUGGCUAUUCUGACCUCUCUUCAGAGAGAAGAGCUCUUGUUUCUUUGGUGGGUAAGACACCAGGCACACUCUGCUUUAACCUGUCAUCUCCUUUCCAUCCCAAUGUAUUCCUCUGACUCUCUGGUUUUGGAUAAUGACAUCAACAUCCUCCAAGUCACCCAGGCUUGAGAACCUAGACCAGUUUGAUGCUUUCUUUGCCCUGCCAUCCACAUCCGGCUGGUUCCCAAAUUGGUGUGGUCUACUUGAGUGGUAUCGCUUCCAUUCACACCUUUAUUGUCCUUCCUACUUAUUGCCCUGGUUUUGGUCAUAAUCUCUCAUCUAGGUUACUGCAAUAGCUUCCUAACUGGACUUUCCAUUUUUUCCUUUUCCUUUUUAAAUUUGUCUUGUAUGCCAGGGCCAGAUUAAUUUUGCGAAAGUGUCUAAUCAUAACUUUUCAGCAUUAAAAACUGUCACAAACUCCCCAGUACCACCCCCAAUUCCCAAACUACUUAGAAAGGCAGAAUUGGGGUUUCUCCAAUCUUCCUUGUCAGCCUUAUCCUUGGAGGAACUGCCAGUUCCAUGAGGUCAGGGACUUUGUGUGUUUUAUUUCCUGGUGUGUCCCCAUGAUCGGCAUGGGGCUUGAAUCCAGCACUGUGGGGCCUGUCCUGCCACAGGGCUUGAGCAAUGCUUGUCAACUUGUUUGCAACAGACGCAUGCUGCUACUGUCUACCAGGAUGCUCACUGGUUCCAAAGAAUACCCUUCAUUUCCCCCACCUCCACCAUUGCACACGAUCUCUGUGGAAUGCUUGUCAUACCACGUCUGUUCUACUUCUACCCAUUUUCAAGGAAUUGCCUAAGCCUUGCCUCUUACAUGAAGCCCUCUGUGAUUCCCCAGAGAGAGAUGAGCACCCCUCUCGGAACUGCCUUGGCAGUUUGUCCCUUCCCAUGGCACUUGGCAUAGUUUACUUUUAUUAAAGGACUUCUCACAUCUUG